rnacentral:tRNA from 1 species
GUCCCCGUAGCUCAACUGGAUAGAGCGUCGGCCUCCGGAGCCGAAGGUUUCAGGUUCGAAUCCUGUCGGGGAUACCU